GGAAGCAUGCUACUUUAAUAUAAUGUAUAAUUAUAAAUUUAUUACAUGUUUCUAUAUAAACAGCUGAUUGUGGCGGAGAGCUUUCAGCCGAUUCAGGAAGCGUAGGGACAAUCACAUCACCAAAUUUUCCUAACAAUUACCCUAUCUUCUCAAACUGCACCUGGAUAAUUAGAUGCAACGACGUCGGACAGAAUGUUGUUAUCAAUUUUGAAAACUUUGCAUUGGAAGGGGUCUUUCCUGGCUGUGAGUUUGACUGGGUCUCACUCCAUAACGGUGUCUUAAUCGGAAAUGCUGAUCUUGGACUAUUUUGUGGAAGUACAAGUUAUCCUGGAAUUCUUCCGCCGGCCAACGGAACUGUCAGCAAUUGGAAUGCUGUGACUAUCAAUUUUAGGAGUGACCAUUCGAUUAACCUUUCAGGUUUCAACUUAACAUACACUUGCAGUAAGUAUUAACAUCAUAGCAUCUUUUUAUUAUCUGCCGUUAAAUAUUUAGCAUAUACUAGUAUGAAGCUAUAGAUUGAAGGUUUAACAAUAAGUAAAAUGUUUUUUUUUCAUAUUUUUUUAUUUUUGGUAAUUAAUUCUUUAAAGUAUAUAACAAAGCUUUUAUAUGUAUCUUAAACCGUAAAAUACCAAUUAUAUUUCCCAAACAUUUGAACAUUUGCCAUGCUUUUGUUUACAUUACAAUUUCAGGGAAGGUAAUCUAUAUAUUUUUCUACAACACAAAUACUUACAUAGUCUGUAGUUGAUACAUAUUAAAGAUAUGUAGGCUGUUGGAAUAAUUGUUAUGAAUUUAUUUCAAUUGGUUUUCAGAAAAUGAAUCAGAUGAUUAAACAUAUUUGUUUUUACCAGUGGUAAGAUCUGUCUGAAUUAACGCUUAUCUGCUUGACAGGGGAAUGACUCUUGACAUACAUGGCGAUGUGUAAAAACAUCAAACUGAGCUGUCUUCCACAGUAUAGUGCAGCUUAAUUCCUUCAAAUUCUAAUGCGCGAUUUAUGUAGUAGAUAAUGUAUUUGUUACAUAUUUUGCCGACUGAACUGCAUAAGUUUACAAAAGCAUUUCCGCGUUUCUCUUUAUAACAUAUUUUGAUUAAGAUAAAUGUCAUUUUCUCAAGGCGUGUCCCCUUAAAUUUAGAGCUCUGUUAUUAACUGUAAAUUGCCGAGUGUCAUUGCUGUUCCAUUGCUUUAAUAUGGAACGAGAUUGCUACUUGAUAAAGUUGAAACUAACACUACAAGCAUGAUACAUAUUUAGUUUAGUUAUCACACUUUAUUUGUUAUUUUUCAGUCAAAACCAGACGACAGAGAUGACAACAAUAUCCAGAUGACAACAACAUAGAAUUUAGCUGAAUUUGUGUAAGCUUCUAAAGCUUAAAAUUACUUAAUAAAGUAUAAUUGCAUCUU